rnacentral:rRNA from 1 species
UACGGGGGGGGCGAGCGUUGUUCUGCAUUACUGGGCGUAAAGGGCUCGUAGGUGGCCAACUAAGUCAGACGUGAAAUCCCUCGGCUUAACCGAGGAACUGCGUCUGAUACUGGAUGGCUUGAGUUUGGGAGAGGGACGCGGAAUUCCAGGUGUAGCGGUGAAAUGCGUAGAUAUUGGGAGGAACACCAGUGGCGAAGGCGGCUCGCUGGACCGGUUCUGACGCUGAGGCGCGAAAGCGUGGGGAGCAAACGGG